GCUUGCUGGGUGGAUUAGUGGCGAACGGGUGAGUAACACGUGAGUAACCUGCCCUUGACUUCGGGAUAACUCCGGGAAACCGGGGCUAAUACCGGAUAUGAGCCGCCUUCGCAUGGGGGUGGUUGGAAAGUUUUUCGGUCAGGGAUGGGCUCGCGGCCUAUCAGCUUGUUGGUGGGGUGAUGGCCUACCAAGGCGACGACGGGUAGCCGGCCUGAGAGGGCGACCGGCCACACUGGGACUGAAACACGGCCCAGACUCCUACGGGAGGCAGCAGUGGGGAAUAUUGCACAAUGGGCGAAAGCCUGAUGCAGCGACGCCGCGUGAGGGAUGAAGGCCUUCGGGUUGUAAACCUCUUUCAGCAGGGAAGAAGCGCAAGUGACGGUACCUGCAGAAGAAGCGCCGGCUAACUACGUGCCAGCAGCCGCGGUAAUACGUAGGGCGCAAGCGUUGUCCGGAAUUAUUGGGCGUAAAGAGCUCGUAGGCGGUUUGUCGCGUCUGGUGUGAAAACUCGAGGCUCAACCUCAAGCUUGCAUCGGGUACGGGCAGACUAGAGUGCGGUAGGGGAGACUGGAAUUCCUGGUGUAGCGGUGGAAUGCGCAGAUAUCAGGAGGAACACCCGAUGGCGAAGGCAGGUCUCUGGGCCGCAACUGACGCUGAGGAGCGAAAGCAUGGGGAGCGAACAGGAUUAGAUACCCUGGUAGUCCAUGCCGUAAACGUUGGGCACUAGGUGUGGGGCUCAUUCCACGAGUUCCGUGCCGCAGCAAACGCAUUAAGUGCCCCGCCUGGGGAGUACGGCCGCAAGGCUAAAACUCAAAGGAAUUGACGGGGGCCCGCACAAGCGGCGGAGCAUGCGGAUUAAUUUGAUGCAACGCGAAGAACCUUACCAAGGCUUGACAUGCACGAGAAGCCACCAGAGAUGGUGGUCUCUUUGGACACUCGUGCACAGGUGGUGCAUGGUUGUCGUCAGCUCGUGUCGUGAGAUGUUGGGUUAAGUCCCGCAACGAGCGCAACCCUCGUCCCAUGUUGCCAGCGGGUUAUGCCGGGGACUCAUGGGAGACUGCCGGGGUCAACUCGGAGGAAGGUGGGGAUGACGUCAAAUCAUCAUGCCCCUUAUGUCUUGGGCUUCACGCAUGCUACAAUGGCCGGUACAAAGGGCUGCGAUACCGUAAGGUGGAGCGAAUCCCAAAAAGCCGGUCUCAGUUCGGAUUGGGGUCUGCAACUCGACCCCAUGAAGUCGGAGUCGCUAGUAAUCGCAGAUCAGCAACGCUGCGGUGAAUACGUUCCCGGGCCUUGUACACACCGCCCGUCAAGUCACGAAAGUCGGUAACACCCGAAGCCCAUGGA
rnacentral:rRNA from 1 species